rnacentral:rRNA from 1 species
CCGGUAAACGGCGGCCGUAACUAUAACGGUCCUAAGGUAGCGAAAUUCCUUGUCGGGUAAGUUCCGACCUGCACGAAUGGCGUAAUGAUGGCCAGGCUGUCUCCACCCGAGACUCAGUGAAAUUGAACUCGCUGUGAAGAUGCAGUGUACCCGCGGCAAGACGGAAAGACCCCGUGAACCUUUACUAUAGCUUGACACUGAACAUUGAGCCUUGAUGUGUAGGAUAGGUGGGAGGCUUUGAAGUGUGGACGCCAGUCUGCAUGGAGCCGGCCUUGAAAUACCACCCUUUAAUGUUUGAUGUUCUAACGUUGGCCCCUGAUCGGGGUUGCGGACAGUGUCUGGUGGGUAGUUUGACUGGGGCGGUCUCCUCCUAAAGAGUAACGGAGGAGCACGAAGGUUGGCUAAUCCUGGUCGGACAUCAGGAGGUUAGUGCAAUGGCAUAAGCCAGCUUGACUGCGAGCGUGACGGCGCGAGCAGGUGCGAAAGCAGGUCAUAGUGAUCCGGUGGUUCUGAAUGGAAGGGCCAUCGCUCAACGGAUAAAAGGUACUCCGGGGAUAACAGGCUGAUACCGCCCAAGAGUUCAUAUCGACGGCGGUGUUUGGCACCUCGAUGUCGGCUCAUCACAUCCUGGGGCUGAAGUAGGUCCCAAGGGUAUGGCUGUUCGCCAUUUAAAGUGGUACGCGAGCUGGGUUUAGAACGUCGUGAGACAGUUCGGUCCCUAUCUGCCGUGGGCGCUGGAGAACUGAGGGGGGCUGCUCCUAGUACGAGAGGACCGGAGUGGACGCAUCACUGGUGUUCGGGUUGUCAUGCCAAUGGCACUGCCCGGUAGCUAAAUGCGGAAGAGAUAAGUGCUGAAAGCAUCUAAGCACGAAACUUGCCCCGAGAUGAGUUCUCCCUGACUCCUUGAGAGUCCUGAAGGAACGUUGAAGACGACGACGUUGAUAGGCCGGGUGUGUAAGCGCAGCGAUGCGUUGAGCUAACCGGUACUAAUGAACCGUGAGGCUUAACCUUACAA